rnacentral:rRNA from 1 species
GACGAACGCUGGCGGCGUGCCUAACACAUGCAAGUCGAACGGAGUGGCGCACGGGUGAGUAACACGUGAAUAACCUGACCCAAAGAGGGGGAUAACACCUGGAAACAGGUGCUAAUACCGCAUAUUGGGAGGGGUUCGCGUCCCAUUAGGUAGUAGGCGGGGUAACGGCCCACCUAGCCGACGAUGGGUAGCCGAGCUGAGAGGCUGAUCGGCCACACUGGAACUGAGACACGGUCCAGACUCCUACGGGAGGCAGCAGUGGGGAAUAUUGGGCAAUGGGCGCAAGCCUGACCCAGCAACGCCGCGUGAGGGAAGAAGGUUUUCGGAUUGUAAACCUCUGUCGCAGAAGACGCGGUAUUCUGUGAGGAAGCCCCGGCUAACUACGUGCCAGCAGCCGCGGUAAUACGUAGGGGGCGAGCGUUGUCCGGAAUUACUGGGCGUAAAGGGAGCGUAGGCGGUCUGAUAAGUUGGAUGUGAAGUACCCGGGCUUAACUUGGGGGGUGCAUCCAAUACUGUUGGACUAGAGUACAGGAGAGGAAAGCGGAAUUCCUAGUGUAGCGGUGAAAUGCAUAGAUAUUAGGAGGAACAUCGGUGGCGAAGGCGGCUUUCUGGACUGCAACUGACGCUGAGGCGCGAAAGCGUGGGGAGCAAACAGGAUUAGAUACCCUGGUAGUCCACGCUGUAAACGAUCGAUACUAGGUGUGGGGUCGUGCCGCAGUUAACACAAUAAGUAUCCCACCUGGGGAGUACGAUCGCAAGGUUGCAACUCAAAGG